AUUGAACGCUGGCGGCAGGCCUAACACAUGCAAGUCGAGCGGAGCGGCGGACGGAUGAGUAAUGCAUAGGAAUCUGCCUGGUAGUGGGGGAUAACGUCCGGAAACGGGCGCUAAUACCACAUACUAUCAAAUGAGCCUAGGUGGGAUGAGCUAGUUGGUGGGGUAAAGGCCUACCAAGGCGACGAACCGUAACUGGUCUGAGAGGAUGAUCAGUCACACUGGAACUGAGACACGGUCCAGACUCCUACGGGAGGCAGCAGUGGGGAAUAUUGGACAAUGGGCGAAAGCCUGAUCCAGCCAUGCCGCGUGUGUGAAGAAGGUCUUCGGAUUGUAAAGUACUUUAAGUCGGGAGGCGUUACCAACAGAAGAAGCACCGGCUAACUUCGUGCCAGCCGCCGCGGUAAUAC
rnacentral:rRNA from 1 species